rnacentral:rRNA from 1 species
UGCCUAAAACAUGCAAGUCGAACGCGAUGGCCCUUCGGGGCCUGGGAGUGGCGAACGGCGGAGUAAUACGUAAGCAACGUGCCCUGAAGUCUGGGAUAUACCGGGGAAACCCGGGGCAAUACCGGAUGUGAUCACUGCCUGGCAUCAGGUGGUGAUUAAACGGUUUUUCGCUUCAGGAGCGGCUUACGGCCUAUCAGCUAGUUGGCGGGGUAACGGCCCACCAAGGCUUCGACGGGUAGCUGGUCUGAGAGGACGAUCAGCCCGAGUGGGACUGAGACACGGCCCACACACCUACGGGUGACAGCAGUUGGGAAUCUUGCACAAUGGGGGCAACCCUGAUGCAGCGACGCCGCGUGGAGGACGAAGGAUUUAGGUCUGUAAACUCCUUUUGCCAGGAAAGACUUAGGACGGUACCUGGCGAAUAAGCUCCGGCUAACUACGUGCCAGCAGCCGCGGUAAUACGUAGGGAGCGAGCGUUGUCCGGAUUUACUGGGCGUAAAGGGCGCGUAGGCGGUCUGUUAAGCGUGAAGUGAAAUCUCCAGGGCUCAACCCGGAAACUGCUUUGCGAACUGGCAGACUAGAGGAAGGUAGAGGUAAGUGGAAUUCCCGGUGUAGCGGUGACAUGCAUUGAUACCGGGAGGAACACCCAUGGCGAAGGCAGCUUACUGGACCUUAUCUGACGCUGGGGCGCGAAAGCG